rnacentral:rRNA from 1 species
CCAGGUGGCAAAUCGUUGGGGAAACACCUGAUCUCAUCUCGAACUCAGUAGUUAAGCCCAACAGAGCCGAUGGUACUGCGUCUAGCGCGUGGGAGAGUAGGUCGUUGCCUGGC